rnacentral:rRNA from 1 species
AUGAAAAGAGGAGGAUGGUCUAACCCCCCGUCGGGAUUUGUUAAACUUAACAUUGAUGCUUCUUUUGACCACGACCUUCUCAGGGGUACGAUCGGGGCGGUCUUAAGAGAUGACAAAGGUAGGUUCAUCGGUGGGGGAAAUGGUAAGAUUGACUGGUGUGCAGAUGUGUUGAUAGCUGAAGCUUUGGCGUUAAAAUUUGGCCUAUCACUUGCGCAAAGGACGGGUUGUAAUCGCAUAAUUAUUAACUCGGAUAAUAUGGAGGUGAUCGAGACCAUGAACGAAGGAGGACGAUCGUCGGGGGCAGCUGCUGCAAUUUUUGAUGACUGUUUUCACUUAGCUUGCGAUUUUCCUAUUUCUAGAUUCGAGCAUUGUAAUAGAGAAGCAAAUAAAGUUGCUCAUGAACUUGCCAAGUUGGCUAGAUUUUCAUUCAUUUCUGAUUGGCUCGAGGAACCACAUAAUGCAAUUGUACCAAUCCUCAUAAACGAUGUAAUGAUUAUUUCUAAUGAAUAA